AUUAAAAGGCAAGUUGUCUGUCUGUGUAUGUGUUGUGUGAACCACUUCUACUCCUACAAUUUUCAACUGAAUUUCACUAAAUUUGACAUGUGAGCUCUCUUUGACUUAAGACGUUUUUUCUUAUAAUUUUUUCCUCGAAAUUCUGCACCCCUAACAAAGAUAGACUACUCUCAAUUCACCUAUGAUUUGGCUUGAGCCAGCAAAAAAACAUGACACACACUCAGCUGGAAAAAAAUCAAUAUUUUACUUUCUCAGCUGUGGCAAGCUCUUAUCGACUGCUUGCACAGUACUGCCAGCAGUAUUCAUUUGUGAGUUACGAUUUGCCUCUGUUUUCAUGUGAGCACUCUUUUUCAAAUAAUUAUUCUGACUUGAACUUGCCACUUCGAAACUCUUACCCAAAAUUAAAAAUCUUUAAUUCAGUCUGUUUAACAUUUUUGCCAACUACGUUUUACUAUUUUUUGGGUGCUUUUUCCUUAGGACUUUUACUAUUGCAUAAACUGAUAAUUUUCCACCAUGCCUCAAUGCAAAAGAUCCAAUAUAGGUCAGCAAACAAAUGCUGCAAAGAAAAGUAAACAUAUGCGUGCAAAUGAAUCUGCUGAGGAUGCUGCCAGGAGGAAUUCUCUCAAUGCACUUAGGAUGGCUUCAACACAAUGAAGGGAAAGUGAAGAGCAGUGUUGUGAUCGGUUAGCACAUAUUGCUGCGCAACAAGCUGCCCAGAACAAUGAGCAAUGUUCAGCAAACCGAACAAGAAAUGCUUCCUCUACUACUGCUGCACAAGCUUCAGAGACUGCAGUACAAUGAGCAGAUUGACUUACAAGAGAUGCUUCCUCAACUGCUGUUGCACGAGCUGCAGCAUAAUGCACAGAUCAACUUCCAAGAGAUGCUGCGCUCGCUACAGAGACUACAGGGGAAAGUCAACAACGGAUGUUGCUCUAUGUGGCAAACAGGAAAACAUCAGAUAUCAAUUGACUGAAAGGAACAUUCUAAGGAAGUGCUCAUACUAAAUGGUUAGAUCAUACCUGACAACAUUUGCUGGAGACAGUUGAAAUAUGGAAAGAUGCAGAUUUGUUCAGGACAUCAAAAUGACAAUCAGAGAUCCAUUAACAUGAUGAGAAGAGUAAUACAGAUCCCAACCACACUAAUAAAAAAGAAAAAAAUUAUCAGACAUGAAUAAAACAUAUACUUGUAUAUAUAAAAUAAAUCGUUUCUGAAAAUAAGCUUUCAAUGAACUGGUUCAAAGAAAAUUGAAUAAGACUUUGAUAAGAGGAUCGAGUAACUUGACCAAUGCCAAAUUAUGAGGAGACUAAAUGAAGUAGCGAAAAUAAAUUAUUACACAAUCCAAUAGUGACAAUUUUGGUUUUUUCCCCGUCUUUGUACAGUAGUAUUAUUGU